UGAUCCGAAGCAGGCGGUCUGAAGUUUUGGCAGCAAAGACAUUAGGAGUAUGCCUUGCACUGAUGAGCGGUAAGAUGGAAAUCCUCGAUUUUUUCCCACGCAGUCUCCCAAAAAAAAGGUACAAAGGCGAGCAACCUCUUGUAAUCCAAUGUGCAUGAAAACAAUACUGUGUGCGCACGUAUCAUUGUCUCUCUCAAGUGUGAAUCUAAAUGUCAAGCUUUAGAAUCAAGAUGAACCGAAUACAAGUCUGCAAAACCAACACUGCUGACAAAUCAGUGUGGAAGCGACUUGAGGCUGAACCCAAACAUCAUUCACUACCAAAACCUGAAAAGCCUCUGGGAAGAAACAAUUAGCUCUCUAUGGCUAAAGGCAUAUGUCUCCAAAGCACCUAUCAUAUCUGUCAAAAAAUUCUCUUGAUACUUGGAAUUGAGUUCCCCAUCUGUGGGGAACCUCAUAUCAACUCACAGACUUCUUUUCUUUUUGCUGUCCAGUCAAAAGUCUGAACUUCAGGCUUAAGGCUGACCUUACCUUCAGGAACAGUCAUAUAAGAAGUUUACUCAUAGAGUGUUCUGGCAGAUAUGAUGAAGGGUGUGGAUAAAGUUAAAUCAAAGACAGCCCCACGUGGAAAUUGCCAUCUAGUGUAUGUCAGUGUGACUCAUUCUCAACAGAAAUACAAUCAGGAUUGUGUUCUUCGCCAGGGUGUGAUGUGAGUUAUAAAAUUUGGAACGACAA